GACGAACGCUGGCGGCGUGCUUAACACAUGCAAGUCGAACGGAAAGGCCCUGCUUUUGUGGGGUGCUCGAGUGGCGAACGGGUGAGUAACACGUGAGUAACCUGCCCUUGACUUUGGGAUAACUUCAGGAAACUGGGGCUACUACCGGAUAGGAGCUCCUGCUGCAUGGUGGGCGUUGGAACGUUUCGGCGGUUGGGGAUGGACUCGCGGCUUAUCAGCUUGUUGGUGGGGUAGUGGCUUACCCAGGCUUUGACGGGUAGCCGGCCUGGGAGGGUGACCGGCCACAAGGGGACUGAGAUACGGACCAGACUCCAACGGGAGGCAGCGGUGGGGAAUAUGGCACAAUGGGCGGAAGCCUGAGGCAGCAACGCCGCGUGCGGGAUGACGGCCUUCGGGUUGUAAACCGCUUUCGGCUGUGACGAAGCGGGAGUGACGGUAAUGGGUAAAGAAGCACCGGCUAACUACGUG
rnacentral:rRNA from 1 species